rnacentral:rRNA from 1 species
AGAGUUUGAUCCUGGCUCAAAACGAACGCUGGCGGCGGGCCUCAUACAUGCAAGUCGAGCGCGAAAGUCCGCAAGGAUGAGUAAAGCGGCGCACGGGUGAGUAACACGUGGAUAAUCUACCCCUUGGAUUGGAAUAACCUGUCGAAAGACGGGCUAAUGCCGAGUGCGCUUACGAGAUUGUGAUGAUCUUGUAAGGAAAGAUGGCGCAAGCUAUCGCCGAGGGAUGAGUCUGCCCCCCAUUAGUUAGUUGGUGAGGUAAUGGCUUACCAAGACAAUGAUGGGUACCUGGUCUGAGAGGAUGACCAGGCACACUGGAACUGAAACACGGUCCAGACUCCUACGGGAGGCAGCAGUAGGGAAUAUUGCGCAAUGGACGAAAGUCUGACGCACCCACGCCGCGUGAGGUGAGGAAGGCCUUCGGGUUGUAAAGCUCUGUCAUCUGAGAAAAACGGCUAUCCGGGUAAUAUUCGGGUAGCGUGAUGGUACCAAAGGAGGAAGCACCGGCAAACUCUGUGCCAGCAGCCGCGAUAAUACAGAGGGUGCAAGCGUUUGUUCGGAAUUACUGGGCGUAAAGCGUGCGUAGU